GCACAGAAUAAAAAGCGCUAAUUAUCAAAAGCCACUUCGCCUCUUUCCCCUGUCAUGUCAGCAUUUGAAAAAAGUAUUAUCAAAUAGGGGAACCCCCCCGCUGUAUCGAAUUCUUUUAGUAUCCAGCCUGCUCCCUUUGUUCAGUCGGAAGACUAUGUCAGCAUUUUUAAAAAGUAUUGUCAAAUUGAGGACCCCCCCCCCUCGCUGUAUCGAAUUCAUUUAGUAUCCAGCCUGCUCCCUUUGUUCAGUCGGAAGACUUUUCUUUUGAAAAAGACUUUUUAGUCCCGUCCAACAAGAGAGGUAAAGCCUUUCUAUUCAAAUGAGACGCACUCCCAUUGUCUCGCUAAGGUCAGCAGCAGGACAUAGAGCAGGGAUUGAGUAGUCUUGGGAGGCGGACUUAUAUUCCCCGGUUACGAGUUGACGACGUUUUCACUACUCAAACUUGAAAAAGUCUUUUACACCUUCGGGAAAGCGUACCGGAAGACCCAACUUUCGCUUAAAAUCCCAGUUUGGAUGAGCAGAGUUAGGCUCGAUUUCGAUUCAUACUGAAAAAUAGGUGAAUAGUUGAUAGCAGAUGGGG
rnacentral:lncRNA from 1 species